rnacentral:misc_RNA from 1 species
UAGAUUUUGGAUUCUGGAGAAUCUAAUAAAGGAAAGGGCUCAGAUCUUAGGUUGGGGGGUGGAAGUGUAGGAGGAAUGGAACCGGUUGAUCAUAGUGUAAGAUGUGUAGUGUAAUACUUGAAAUCUUGUUGGGGUUUUUGUGCUAUAUUGAAGUUUCUGGUUGUUUUCCCCUUAACCGUGUGGCUUAAGACUGUAUCCGUGUGUGCCUUUUGCAUAGCUGAUGGAUUGCGAGUUCAUUUUCAACUUUAUAUUUAUUGAUGGCAAAUUAUCAAAUUCAUUUUUAGUUGGAUAGAAUUAGUCUGGUUUGAUUCAAUUUAAUGCAUAGAGCUACACUCUUGUUUCCUUUUAUUUUGUUGGUG